rnacentral:rRNA from 1 species
AUGGAGUGGUUCCGCCUCCCGGUGGAGUCCCAAGAUUCCAUGAGUGACGGGGCCGGCAGGCACAUCCAUGUGAAGAUGAAGAUCGAUACGAAAUGUGCUCUAAAGCUACCAGUGGCUGGACACGAAGUGAAGUCACGGGCUUCAAUGAGAAACGCCGACGGACAAAUAUGCCGCGGUGACGGGUUCGAGAUGUGCUUUGGAGCUACUGGCGGCUGGACAAAAGUCUGUUACGCCAAAAGCAGACUGAAUGUCGAGAGGACAAAAUGUAUGCAAGAGCUUGUUUGCGGCGUAACUAUGACCAUCCGAGCCUAA